rnacentral:lncRNA from 1 species
GCCGAGCGGAGCAAGACGUGCUUUAUUGGGAUGGGGGCGCUGCACAGCGGAAAAACAGCCGUUUCUCCCCAAAACACCGUUGCCUGGCUCCUCCGGGAGCCUCGUGCCCCCGGAGCGGUUCCUCGGGGGCUUCUCCAGGAGCCGUGGCUUCUCCGGGGCUUCUAUGGGAGCCUCGGGACCCCGGAGAGGGCCCUUCCCUGGCUCCUCCGGGAGCCUCACACCUCCGGAGCGGCUCUUCCGGGAGCUUCGCGCCUCCGGAGCAGCUCCGUGGGGGCUCCUCCGGGAGCCACAUGCCCUCGGAGCAGCCACUUCCUUGGCUCCUCCGGGAGCCUUGCGCCUCCGGAGCGGCUCCAGAGCAGCUCCUCUGGGAGCGUCGCGCCCCCAGAGUGGCUCCUCUAGGGUCCCUCCGGGGGCCUCGCGGCUCUGGAGUGGCUUCUCCGGAGGCCUCACAGCUCCGGAGCGGCUUCUCCGGGAGCCUUGUGCCCCUGGAGCAGCUUCUCCAGGGCCUCUCCGGGAGCCUUGUGCCCUCAGAGUGGCUCCUCCGGGAGCCUUGUGCCCUUGGAGCUGCUCUUCCAGGAGCCUCGUGCUCCUGGAGCAGCUCCGGAGCAGCUCCCCUGGGAACCUCAUGCCCUCGGAGCGGCUCUGGAGCGGCUCCUCCAGGAGCCUCACGCCCCCGGGGCAGCUCUGGAGCGGCUCCUCCGGGAACCUUGUGCCUCCAGGGCAGCUCCAGAGUGGCUUUUCCGGGAGCCUCGAGUGGCUCCUCCGGGAGCCUCGUGCCCUCGGAGCAGCUCCGGAGCGGCUCCCCUGGGAACCUCAUGCCCUCGGAGCGGCUCCUCGGGGAGCCUCGCGCCUCCAGAGCGGCCCCUUUCCCCAGCCGCUGCGGGAUCCUCGCGCCGCGGCGCAGCUCCUUGGCGGGGAGGGGGCCGCUCUGGAAGCCGGGACGUCUCCGGGGGGUGUCUCCGGAGCGGCUCCCGGCUCCGGAGCGGCAUCAGGGGCGGCGGAGGAGGCGGCGGCGGAGCUCGCGGCCCAGCAGGCGCCGCUCCUUGCGGGCGCCCUGCAGCACGGCCUGGUUCUCCUGCGCCCGCCGCGCCAGGUAGGGCAGCACCUCGCCGGGGCCGCCGUACGGCACCGACUUGUACACGGCGUAGCCCGCCCGGCCUGCGCCGCCGCCGCGAGGGGCGCGGGGGGGGGACACACGUCAGGUUUGGGGGGGAACGCGCUGAAAUGGGGGCGGCGGGGGGCGGGCGGCACCUACCCAGCGCCAGGGAGACGUGGUCGCACAUGCCCAGCA